GGUUGUGGCUCAGCGGUAGAGCGCUUGCCUAGCACUUGUGAGGCAUGAAGCCCUGGGUUCGAUCCUCUGCACCA
rnacentral:tRNA from 1 species